rnacentral:rRNA from 1 species
ACGGGUGAGUAACGCGUGGGAACAUACCCUUUUCUACGGAAUAGCUCUGGGAAACUGGAAUUAAUACCGUAUACGCCCUACGGGGGAAAGAUUUAUCGGGGAAGGAUUGGCCCGCGUUGGAUUAGCUAGUUGGUGGGGUAAAGGCCUACCAAGGCGACGAUCCAUAGCUGGUCUGGGAGGAUGAUCAGCCACAUUGGGACUGAGACACGGCCCAAACUCCUACGGGAGGCAGCAGUGGGGAAUAUUGGACAAUGGGCGCAAGCCUGAUCCAGCCAUGCCGCGUGAGUGAUGAAGGCCUUAGGGUUGUAAAGCUCUUUCACCGAUGAAGAUAAUGACGGUAGUCGGAGAAGAAGCCCCGGCUAACUUCGUGCCAGCAGCCGCGGUAAUACGAAGGGGGCUAGCGUUGUUCGGAAUUACUGGGCGUAAAGCGCACGUAGGCGGAUAUUUAAGUCAGGGGUGAAAUCCCAGAGCUCAACUCUGGAACUGCCUUUGAUACUGGGUAUCUUGAGUAUGGAAGAGGUAAGUGGAAUUGCGAGUGUAGAGGUGAAAUUCGUAGA